rnacentral:rRNA from 1 species
GACGAACGCUGGCGGCGCGCCUAACACAUGCAAGUCGAACGGAGUACUCGGGGCUUGCCCCGGGUACUUAGUGGCGGACGGGUGAGUAACACGUGAGCAACCUGCCCUCGAGUGGGGGAUAACACAGGGAAACCUGUGCUAAUACCGCAUAACAUAUCUUGGCCGCAUGACUGGGAUAUCAAAGAUUUUAUCGCUCGAGGAUGGGCUCGCGCCCGAUUAGGUAGUUGGUGAGGUAACGGCCCACCAAGCCGACGAUCGGUAGCCGGACUGAGAGGUUGAUCGGCCACAUUGGGACUGAGACACGGCCCAGACUCCUACGGGAGGCAGCAGUGGGGGAUAUUGCACAAUGGGGGAAACCCUGAUGCAGCGACGCCGCGUGAGGGAAGACGGUCUUCUGGAUUGUAAACCUCUGUCUUCAGGGACGAAUAAUGACGGUACCUGAGGAGGAAGCCACGGCUAACUACGUG